rnacentral:rRNA from 1 species
AACGUAGGAGACAAACGUUAUCCGGAGUUACUGGGCGUAAAGGGCGUGUAGGUGGUUUCGUAAGUCUGGCGUGAAAUUUCUCGGCUUAACCGAGGCAGGUCGUCGGAUACUGCGGAACUUGAGGACGGUAGAGGCGUGUGGAAUUCCGGGUGUAGUGGUGAAAUGCGUAGAGAUCCGGAGGAACACCAGUGGCGAAGGCGAUACGCUGGGCCGUACCUGACACUGAUGCGCGACAGCGUGGGGAGCAAACAGG